UAUCAGCGAUUAGAGUGAGAAAUAUACUACUGUUAUAGAAUAAUUCAAAAAUAAACAAUGAUAAUACCAAUGUACAUAUUCAUAGAUAUUUUUAAUAUUUUUAUUCUUCGAAUUUAAUAUUUAUAAGGUAUAGUUAUCAGUGCUGUAUUGCGUAUUUGCGUGUGUGGUGUUCCAAUGUCCAAUUUAUAUUGUCAAUUUUAAAUUUUGUUAGUACUCAGUAUAAAUAUUAGAUUUAGUCGAGAAUUAUUUUUAUUACUUUCAUUUAUUCAUCAAGCUGUUUUUGUUCACAUUUGAGUUUUUAACAGUGAAUAGUGAAAAUGAAGUCGAUCCAGAGACGUCAAAUGUUGCAGAGGGGAAAGUAGCAAAAAGCUUGAACAUAAAAAACAAAAAUUUAGAAAUUACAUAACUGCAAUAUAUAAUGUAGCAUUUGACGAUUCAAAAAUUGCAAGUGGUAUAAAUCUUGGUAAUACCAAAGCCACAUCUAUUGUGAACAAUUUUAUUGUGUUGUUAGCUUCUCGGUGGCGAGAUAAUGUCAAAAAUCAAGCCGCUGGAUCGGGAAUCGAACUCGGGCCUCUUGCUUGCCGAACGAUUGCUCUACCACUAAGCUACCCGACCACAGAGACCUUUGACAUUAUCACUAUUUGACAUUAUCCAACGGGAGUUUACAGUGUCAUCAUAGAUGAAAGCACAGAUGUUGGUUCUUCAAACUUAUACAACUAUUUACUGAUUCAAAAAGUGCAAAUGAAGGUGCAUUUGUUGAGAAGAUAUUUGGUGAACUUCUUAAAGCUUUUAACAAAUCAGAAAUUCCAUUGGAUAACAUAAUUGGAUUUGUAUUUGAUGGUUGAAACUCUAUGAUGGGUGCUAUGAUUUGUUUUGUUUAUUUGUUUAUUUUAUGGUUAACUGAUAUUUAAAAGUUGU
rnacentral:misc_RNA from 1 species